AAGCGCUUGCAACCAGACUUGCGCGCUGAUGAUCAUCCGGGCUUUUGCCUGGUGCACUCGUCUGCGCUCAGGCCAGCAUCGGUUUCGGUGGUGGGAUAAAGGCCUUGGGAAUGUGGCUCCUCUCGGGGAGUGUUAUAGCCCUCGGUGCAAUGCCGCCAACCGGGACCGAGGACCGCGCUUCGGCUAGGAUGCUGGCGUAAUGGUUGUAAGCGA
rnacentral:rRNA from 1 species